GCCACAGACCCGAGGGGAGGGAAUGGCAGCAACCCGGUCGCCACCCUGAUUUUGUACUGCAGGUGCAAUUUUAAAACUGAUUUUUUAAUUUAAAAAAGCAAAGAUGAAACAAAAAUACUUAUAGGAAAAUUCAAACAUACAGGUAACAGAAAAGAAGGUGAAAAUAAAAUAAGACGCAGCUAAUGAUACCUCUCAAAGAAUUGUAUGAUAAGGAAAUGAGAACAUGCAGUCACUCAACAAACAAAGGGAGGGAUGGAGACCCAGAAGACAGGUGCCAACACUCGACCCUCUGUGCUGGUGCCAGUCCAGGGGACGGGUGAACAGACCCGGAAGACAGGUGCCAACACUCUGACCCUCUGUGCCGGUGCCGGUCCAGGGGACGGGUGAACAGAUCCGGAAGACAGGUGCCAACACUCUGACCCUCUGUGCCGGUGCCGAUCCAGGGGAGGGGUGAACAGAUCCGGAAGACAGGUGCCAACACUCUGACCCUCUGUGGCGGUGCCGGUCCAGGGGAGGGGUGAACAGAUCCGGAAGACAGGUGCCAACACUCUGACCCUCUGUGCCGGUGCCGGUCCAGGGGAGGGGUGAACAGAUCCGGAAGACAGGUGCCAACACUCUGACCCUCUGUGGCGGUGCCGGUCCAGGGGACGGGUGAACAGAUCCGGAAGACAGGUGCCAACACUCUGACCCUCUGUGGCGGUGCCGGUCCAGGGGACGGGUGAACAGAUCCGGAAGACAGGUGCCAACACUCUGACCCUCUGUGGCGGUGCCGGUCCAGGGGACGGGUGAACAGAUCCGGAAGACAGGUGCCAACACUCUGACCCUCUGUGGCGGUGCCGGUCCAGGGGACGGGUGAACAGAUCCGGAAGACAGGUGCCAACACUCCUGACCCUCUGUGGCGGUGCCGGUCCAGGGGACGGGUGAACUGACCCGGAAGACAGGUGCCAACACUCCUGACCCUCUGUGGCGGUGCCGGUCCGGGGGAGGGGUGAACAGAUCCGGAAGACAGGUGCCAACACUCUGACCCUCUGUGCCGGUGCCGGUCCAGGGGACGGGUGAACUGACCCGGAAGACAGGUGCCAACACUCUGACCCUCUGUGGCGGUGCCGGUCCAGGGGACGGGUGAACUGACCCGGAAGACAGGUGCCAACACUCUGACCCUCUGUGGCGGUGCCGGUCCAGGGGACGGGUGAACAGACCUGGAAGACAGGUGCCAACACUCUGACCCUCUGUGGCGGUGCCGGUCCAGGGGAGGGGUGAACAGACCGAUGUGGUUCCUGCCCUGGAGAACAGGGAAACGCAGAACAAGCAGAGACAGAUCCAGAUAAAGAGAGGUGAAGAGAGACGGGAGAGGAGGAGAGGGGGCCAGUCAUGAGGAAGAGAAGCAGGGAAGCCGUGUGACUUCGAGAGUGGCGGGGGUUUUCGUUCCUUCGUUUUCUUUUCUUUUUUUUCAGACAGAAUCUCUGUCACCCACGCUGG
rnacentral:lncRNA from 1 species